rnacentral:lncRNA from 1 species
GGACAAGGAGACUGGAGUGGAGAGAUGAGGGUCUCUCCCUACUGGAGUCGGAGAGGAGGGCAGAGUCACCUACCUCCCAAGCAACAGAGGCCUUUGUGA